CCUACGGGUGGCUGCAGUGGGGAAUUUUGGACAAUGGGGGCAACCCUGAUCCAGCCAUGCCGCGUGAGUGAAGAAGGCCUUCGGGUUGUAAAGCUCUUUCGGACGGAACGAAAUCGUCUGGGUGAAUAUCCUGGAUGGAUGACGGUACCGUAAGAAGAAGCACCGGCUAACUACGUGCCAGCAGCCGCGGUAAUACGUAGGGUGCGAGCGUUAAUCGGAAUUACUGGGCGUAAAGCGUGCGCAGGCGGUUACCUAAGCCAGGCGUGAAAUCCCCG
rnacentral:rRNA from 1 species